AAAUUUUUAAAAUGUGUCAAAGAGAGAAAAUCCAAUGAGAAUCCUAUAAGAGUUUGCAACUUCAGGACAGGUAGAAACACUAGCCUCCACCCGGUAAUGCACCUGUUAUUUUCUGUGAAUUGCUAUCACUUUCAAGACACACAGAAGUACUUGGUCUCCCAAAGUAAAUAAACUUUAGAAAUGCCAGCAUCUCUUGAUAAAUGUUAAUUGACCCCUUUUUAACGUGUAUUAUUCUAAUGUCUGCAGCAAACUUUACUUAAAGCCUUUGAUCGUCUACCAAAUAUUCCC
rnacentral:lncRNA from 1 species